ACGCGGAGGACAUUACAGAACGCCCGGGCUUCGGCCUGGUUAUUCAUAACCCUUUGUUGUCCGACUCUGUUGCCUCCGGGGCGACCCUGCCUUCGGGCGGGGGCUCCGGGUGGACACUUCAAACUCUUGCGUAACUUUGCAGUCUGAGUAAACUUAAUUAAUAAAUUAAAACUUUUAACAACGGAUCUCUUGGUUCUGGCAUCGAUGAAGAACGCAGCGAAAUGCGAUAAGUAAUGUGAAUUGCAGAAUUCAGUGAAUCAUCGAAUCUUUGAACGCACAUUGCGCCCCCUGGUAUUCCGGGGGGCAUGCCUGUUCGAGCGUCAUUUCACCACUCAAGCCUCGCUUGGUAUUGGGCAACGCGGUCCGCCGCGUGCCUCAAAUCGUCCGGCUGGGUCUUCUGUCCCCUAAGCGUUGUGGAAACUAUUCGCUAAAGGGUGUUCGGGAGGCUACGCCGUAAAACAACCCCAUUUCUAAGGUUGACCUCGGAUCAGGUAGGGAUACCCGCUGAACUUAAGCAUAUCAAUAAGGCGGAGGAA
rnacentral:rRNA from 1 species